UACGUAGGGUGCAAGCGUUGCCCGGAUUUAUUGGGCGUAAAGGGCGCGUAGGCGGCUCUGCACGUUCGUUGUGAAAUCGCCCGGCUCAACUGGGCGGGGUCAGCGGAUACGGCAGAGCUUGAGCAAGCUAGGGGGCAAUGGAAUUCCCGGUGUAGUGGUGAAAUGCGUAGAGAUCCGGAGGAACACCAGUGGCGAAGGCGACACGCUGGGUCACACCUGACGCUAAAGCGCGACAGCAUGGGGAGCGAACGGG
rnacentral:rRNA from 1 species